GACGGAGGAUGCAAGUGUUAUCCGGAAUCACUGGGCGUAAAGCGUCUGUAGGUGGUUUAAAAAGUCUACUGUUAAAGCUUGAAGCUUAACUUCAAAAAUGCCGUAGAAACUUUUAAACUUGAGUAUGGUAGGGGUAGAGGGAAUUUCCAGUGGAGCGGUGAAAUGCGUAGAUCUUGGAAAGACCACCAAUGGCGAAGGCACUCUACUGGGCCGACACUGACACUGAGAGACGAAAGCUAGGGGAGCGAAUGGG
rnacentral:rRNA from 1 species